rnacentral:rRNA from 1 species
CGGGACGGGUGAGUAACGCGUGGGUAACCUGCCUCACACAGGGGGAUAACAGUUGGAAACGGCUGCUAAUACCGCAUAAGCGCACAGUACCGCAUGGUACAGUGUGAAAAACUCCGGUGGUGUGAGAUGGACCCGCGUCUGAUUAGCUAGUUGGCAGGGCAACGGCCUACCAAGGCGACGAUCAGUAGCCGACCUGAGAGGGUGACCGGCCACAUUGGGACUGAGACACGGCCCAA